AGUGCCUGACAGGGGACUUAACAGGAAGAACAGAAAGGAGUGCUGAUAGGCUGAGGACCAUAGUGUCAGGUAAUCAUGGGAACUGAGUGCAGGGCAAGGGAAGAAUACCUAGUCGCAUAGCUGUCAACUUUUCCCUUUUCUUGUGAGGAAUCCUAUUUGGAAUAAGGGAAUUUCCCUUAGAAAAAGGGAAACGUUGACAGCUAUGCGCUAGUAGGAGUUCCUAUGGCCUUGUCAUGAACAAAUUUGGUAUAGAUAUAGUAUUUCUUGUGCCACUGAAGGGCUGGAAGCAGGAUAUGUGAACAGCAAGUUGCCUGCUCUACAGAGAUUUGGCCAGCAAUAUGCAGCAAUAGCAGGUAAGGCGAAGGGGGAGUUUUUAAUUAUUAUUAUUAUUUUAUUAAAUUUGUAUAACGCCCUAAAUCCAUAGAUCUCAUAAAUUUACAAUAAGAUAUUAGAUGCAGGUUGAAGUAAAGGUAAAGGUAAAGGUAAAGGUACCCCUGCCCGUACGGGCCAGUCGUGUCCGACUCUAGGGUUGUGCGCCCAUCUCACUUAAGAGGCCGGGGGCCAGCGCUGUCCGGAG